AUUGAACGCUGGCGGCAGGCUUAACACAUGCAAGUCGAGCGGGGUGAUGGUGCUUGCACUAUCACUUAGCGGCGGACGGGUGAGUAAUGCUUAGGAAUCUGCCUAUUAGUGGGGGACAACAUCUCGAAAGGGAUGCUAAUACCGCAUACGUCCUACGGGAGAAAGCAGGGGAUCACUUGUGACCUUGCGCUAAUAGAUGAGCCUAAGUCGGAUUAGCUAGUUGGUGGGGUAAAGGCCUACCAAGGCGACGAUCUGUAGCGGGUCUGAGAGGAUGAUCCGCCACUGGGACUGAAACACGGCCCAGACUCCUACGGGAGGCAGCAGUGGGGAAUAUUGGACAAUGGGGGGAACCCUGAUCCAGCCAUGCCGCGUGUGUGAAGAAGGCCUUAUGGUUGUAAAGCACUUUAAGCGAGGAGGAGGCUCUUUUGGUUAAUACCCAAGAUGAGUGGACGUUACUCGCAGAAUAAGCACCGGCUAACUCUGUGCCAGCCGCCGCCGUAA
rnacentral:rRNA from 1 species